rnacentral:rRNA from 1 species
CCUACGGGAGGCAGCAGUGGGGAAUAUUGCGCAAUGGGCGAAAGCCUGACGCAGCGACGCCGCGUGAGGGAUGAAGGUCUUCGGAUCGUAAACCUCUGUCAGCAGGGAAGAACGGUCACUGUGCUAAUCAGCAGUGACUUGACGGUACCUGCAAAGGAAGCACCGGCUAACUCCGUGCCAGCAGCCGCGGUAAUACGGAGGGUGCGAGCGUUAUUCGGAAUUACUGGGCGUAAAGCGCUCGUAGGCGGUAUGUCAAGUCAAGGGGGAAAUCCCCGCGCUCAACGUGGGAACUGCCUUUGAAACUGGCAAACUGGAGUGUAGGAGAGGAUAGUGGAAUUCCAGGUGUAGGAGUGAAAUGCGUAGAUAUCUGGAGGAACAUCAGGGGCGAAGGCGACUAUCUGGCACAUAACUGACGCUGAGGAGCGAAAGCGUGGGUAGCAAACAGGAUUAGAUACCCCGGUAGUC